rnacentral:rRNA from 1 species
GGUCAAGUGAAUAAGCGCAUAGGGUGGAUGCCUAGGCGAUAAGAGGCGAUGAAGGACGUUGUAGGAUGCGAUAAGUCGCGGGGAGUUUUCAAACAAACUUUGAUCCGCGAAUUUCCGAAUGGGGCAACCCAAUCUGCAUAAGCAGAUUAUCUUUAUCUGAAUACAUAGGGUAAAGAAGCGAACCGGGGGAACUGAAACAUCUAAGUACCCCGAGGAAAAGAAAUCAAACGAGAUUCCCUAAGUAGCGGCGAGCGAACGGGGACCAGCCGAGUCUUUUGCGAUAGUGGAACAGUCUGGAAAGUCUGACGAUACAGGGUGAUAGUCCCGUACACGAAAUCAAAAAAGAACGUAUUAAGUAGGGCGAUGCACGUGAAACGUUGUCUGAAGAUAGGGGGACCAUCCUCUAAGGCUAAAUACUACUUAUCGACCGAUAGUGAACUAGUACCGUGAGGGAAAGGCGAAAAGAACCCCGGAGAGGGGAGUGAAAUAGAUCCUGAAACCGUAUGCGUACAAGCAGUAGGAGCGGACUUGUUCCGUGACUGCGUACCUUUUGUAUAAUGGGUCAGCGACUUAAUCUUAGUGGCAAGCUUAACCGAGAAGGGGAGGCGUAGCGAAAGCGAGUCUUAAUAGGGCGUUUAGUCGCUAGGAUUAGACCCGAAACCGGGCGAUCUAUCCAUGGCCAGGUUGAAGGUGGGGUAAUACCUACUGGAGGACCGAACCCACGUAUGUUGAAAAAUGCGGGGAUGAGCUGUGGAUCGGAGUGAAAGGCUAAUCAAGCCCGGAGAUAGCUGGUUCUCCUCGAAAUCUAUUUAGGUAGAGCCUCGCGUAUAACUGUCGGGGGUAGAGCACUGUUAUGGCUAGGGGGUCAUCCCGACUUACCAAACCAUUGCAAACUCCGAAUACCGACAAGUGCAAUCACGGGAGACACACGGCGGGUGCUAAGGUCCGUCGUGAAAAGGGAAACAGCCCAGACCGUCAGCUAAGGUCCCAAAAUCUAUGCUCAGUGGGAAACGAUGUGAAAAGGCCCAGACAGCCAGGAGGUUGGCUUAGAAGCAGCCAUCCUUUAAAGAAAGCG